CCUACGGGCGGCUGCAGUGAGGAAUAUUGGUCAAUGGACGAGAGUCUGAACCAGCCAAGUAGCGUGAAGGAUGACUGCCCUAUGGGUGGUAAACUUCGUUUAUAAAGGAAUAAAACGAGGCACGUGUGCCUUUUUGCAUGUACUUUAUGAAUAAGGAUGGGCUAACUCCGGGCAAGCAGCCGCGGUCAUACGGAGGAUCCGAGCGUUAUCCGGGUUUAUUGGGUUUAAAGGGAGCGUAGAUGGGUUGUUAAGUCAGUUGUGAAAGUUUGCGGCUCAACCGUAAAAUUGCAAUUGAUACUGGCAGUCUUGAGUACAGUUGAGGUAGGCGGAAUUCGUGGUGUAGCGGUGAAAUGCUUAGAUAUCACGAAGAACCCCGAUUGCGAAGGCAGCUUACUAAACUGUGACUGACAUUGAUGCUCGAAAGUGUGGGUAUCAAACAGGAUUAUAUACCCGAGUAGUC
rnacentral:rRNA from 1 species